UACCAAAAUUAAUAAUGCUUAAAAUACAAGUUUCCAAGCGCGUUAAGAAGCAAAUACGAGCUUUCUUGCAACAUUACUUUUGGUCAGGUGUACGGGUUGCAUCUUUACACGUGGCAAGGUCCAAAGCGGAGACGUAGAUUUGCGAUGGUGUUUUGCCGGCGGUGAGUUCAGCAAUGCAAAUGCGGUCAGAUAAAACGCUGGCGGAGGAUACAGCCUACGAAUAAGGAUAGUUCUGGAAAUAGUAUAAUUCCAUUCUUAGUCAAAAAACGCUUGCGGUUACGGCCUUUAAGCACUGCGUUCUGAUAUACUUGCGUUACCAUAAAUCUCUGCAGUACUCUGAUUAAUUUACGAUUAGAGACAUUUUAAAAAUUAACUAUACAAGUACAGUCGUACCCAGCAAGUGCCGCAUUGACCUUGAUCGCGGAUGUCAGCAAUACUCUUGCACUGCGACCAUUUCUUGCGGCAAUCAAAUGAGGUGGGAAGAGUUGCCGGCGCGCGAUGUUUGUGAUGGAUCUGGAAUUUGGGCUGCUUUUUCUCCUCAUGCUUGGACAAGGAGAUUUCUCCUCCUCUGGGUUCAAUCACUUUGCCUGGCUUGGCGUCGCUAUAAAUAGCAAUGACAAUGUUGACUAUUUGCAGGCAGUUAAUGACCAGGCCUAUACUAUCCGGAAACUGAUAAUGGUCAAGCCUUACACAAAGGUCGCCAUAAACGAUAUUCCCAUCACGGCGGUCCAGAUAAGCGCUCGAGUCAUUUUUGUCGAUGACAUGCAAAACAAUCUUCAAAUAGACUGCAGCUGCUAUCGCAAUCACAACCAGAUGAUAUCGACUAAAAGAUGCAACUUUUAUAUUAUUGGAAUUAACCUUCGUGAUCGUGUGUCGUUUCGGUCAUGCUUCAACGGGACAAACACUGCCAUUGCGUUCUUGAUGAGAGUGCCGCACUCAAGGUGACCAAAACGUGUGGUACCAAUCUUGUGCUGGCCGCGUGCGUGCGUUCCGAUAACGUACGAAAAGAAAGAGCGGAAGUCAUUCGGGAACUGAACAACGUUGCAUAUGGUCAUAAUUCAUUGAACUAAUCAGCAUGAUAUUGUUCUUAACAGUUACUGACUGACUUGUGAAACCUUGUCGCUGUUUUAUGGAAAUGUAAUAAACUCGCUGUGAA